rnacentral:rRNA from 1 species
UACGUAGGGGGCGAGCGUUGUCCGGAUUUAUUGGGCGUAAAGAGCUCGUAGGCGGUUCGAUAAGUCGGACGUGAAAUCUCCACGCUCAACGUGGAGGGGCCGUUCGAUACUGUCGUGACUCGAGUCCGGUAGGGGAGUGUGGAAUUCCCGGUGUAGCGGUGAAAUGCGCAGAGAUCGGGAGGAACACCCGUAGCGAAGGCGGCACUCUGGGCCGGUACUGACGCUGAGGAGCGAAAGCGUGGGGAGCAAACAGGAUUAAGAAACCCC